CUAAGUUACCAUGGAGAUGUAUUGUGUGCAGCUAGCCUGCUCCCGACCAGGCUAACAGCCAGAAUAACAUCUGCCUGCUCCUAACC